rnacentral:lncRNA from 1 species
AACUUAUCCUUUUAUUUUUUAAUGCCCCUUGGCAAUCAUUAUUUCACCUGACCGUUUAAUCUUUUUUUUUCAACAUCUUGAAUAUAGGUUCGCACGUGGCUGUUAGGUGAGAUGUGAACCAUGACAGGUAGUUCAUUCUUUCUAAGAAACCACGAACCUCUUUCUUUACUUUUUCUCGGUUCAGGCGUUUCUCUUAUUGUUCUUUUUUUU